AUUGAACGCUGGCGGCAGGCCUAACACAUGCAAGUCGAACGAGUGGCGGACGGGUGAGUAAUGUCUGGGCACCUGCCUGAUGGAGGGGGCUAACUACUGGAAACGGUAGCUAAUACCGCCUACCGUCAGAUUUGCCCAGAGGGGAUUAGCUAGGUGGUGGGGUAACGGAUCACCAAGGCGACGAUCCCGAGCGGGUCUGAGAGGAUGACCAGAAAAACUGGAACUGAGAAACGGUCCAGAGUCCUACGGGAGGCAGAAGAGGGGAAUAUUGCACAAGGGGCGCAAGCCUGAUGCAGACAUGCCGCGUGUAUGAAGAAGGCCGUAGGGUUGGAAAGUACUUUCAGCGGGGAGGCGUUACCCGCAGAGGAAGCACCGGCUAACGCCGUGCCAGCAGCCGCGGUAAUUC
rnacentral:rRNA from 1 species